CCAGACUCCUACGGGAGGCAGCAGUGGGGGAUAUUGCACAAUGGGGGGAACCCUGAUGCAGCGACGCCGCGUGGGUGAAGGAGCGUUUCGGCGCGUAAAGCCCUAUCGGCAGGGAAGAAGGAGGACGGUACCUGACUAAGAAGCCCCGGCUAACUACGUGCCAGCAGCCGCGGUAAUACGUAGGGGGCAAGCGUUAUCCGGAUUUACUGGGUGUAAAGGGGGCGCAGACGGCGAUGCAAGCCAGGAGUGAAAGCCCGGGGCCCAACCCCGGGACUGCUCUUGGAACUGCGUGGCUGGAGUGAAGGAGGGGCAGGCGGAGUUCCUGGUGUAGCGGUGAAAUGCGUAGAUAUCAGGAGGAACACCGGUGGCGAAGGCGGCCUGCUGGACUGCGACUGACGUUGAGGCCCGAAAGCGUGGGGAGCAAACAGGAUUAGAUACCCGCGUAAAA
rnacentral:rRNA from 1 species